CUAGGAAGCUUAUACAUUUUAUUUUUAUAAGAUAUUUCACAUACAGGCAUAUAUUUCAAUCAUAUAUGCAAACAUUUCAUGGUAAUAAUUUAUUGCCAUUUAUUUCUAAACUUAAAUUUGAAAAUAUACAAUAAUUUAACUCACCAAUAUAAAAAUGUUUCAGUCCUUAUCCUUUUGUAUAUAUCAAAAUAAUUUUCAAGAUUAAACUUUAUUCACAAUAAUCUUAGUAACAAUUUUCACAUCUUGCGCCCCUAUACAUAUAUAUGUCCUUUGUAUGACAGUGUAUAUUUUGUGUCAAACCUAUUAUAUAAGUUAGUAGGUUAAAAGCUCCGGGAUGAUAGUUUCAUAGUUUAUCAUCACAAAACAGUAUAUUUAAUACUCUAGUCUAUGUAAUUACUCCUGCUAGGGUUUUAACAGUUGCUCCACCCAGUCUGUGAACAGAGUGUCUUUAUAGAGCCUGUAAAGGAAUAUGGUUCUAAAGAAAUCAGUCCAAUUGUUGCAGCAAUACAAGGGCUGGUGCAAAGUAAACAUUUGUGUGGUAUCUUAAGAAAGAAUGUCACUCCCAUACAUUUCACUGCUGAUUUGCAUUUCUGUAUGUCAUCACAGCAACUAGGGGGAAAAAAGCAACAAUCACUAUUCUUUUAUGUAAAUGAACAAUAAAACAAGCCUAACUUUUAAAUAAAACUGAUGGCCUAAAAAUGUUUUUAUUUAAGUUCAAUCAGUUCUUUAUACUUGCAUAUGUGUUUGUGUUCGAACUGGACAUGAAUUGCAGGGAAAACUUAAAAGAGUUAACUGACUGUAGAACUUCCUACUUGUACACACCACAUGGCUAGGACAAAUCCACACUGCCAAAGAGGCAAGCAAGUUCCCCGGAAGGGCAGGCCAACUUGUGAAUGAAACUUCAGAAUGAUCGUGUUAGAAGAUGUGCUGCAAGCAUACCAAGAAGUGAGGAAAAUCUGCAAACAAAAUAUGCUGUUUGAUCUUUGCAUUGUCAAAUACAAAGGAAAAAGCUGCUCCUACUAAAGGAAAUUGUGCUUAACAGCAUAAAAAUAUUCCAGUACAGAGUGACUAGUACGUUUCACUUUUGUCUUUCAGAGAAACGUUUUACACUUCUUAGUGAUUUUGAACACCUUCAUCCUAUCUGUGCGUGAGAUACUGUGAGGCUAACUGUACCAUAAACCGAUCAGCAUAUGGAUGACUAGCGACUAGAGCAAAAACAAACCCCCAGAAUUUUAAAAGAUCUGAUGAGUCGGCCAAG
rnacentral:lncRNA from 1 species